GCCUUCGAACCUGUGCAUACUUCUUCCUC
rnacentral:piRNA from 2 species